rnacentral:rRNA from 1 species
CCUACGGGUGGCAGCAGUGGGGAAUAUUGCGCAAUGGACGAAAGUCUGACGCAGCGACGCCGCGUGUGGGAUGAAGCCUUUCGGGGCGUAAACCACUGUUGCCCGGGACGAACCUCCCCUUUCGAGGGGACUGACGGUACCGGGUGAGGAAGCACCGGCUAACUCUGUGCCAGCAGCCGCGGUAAUACAGAGGGUGCGAGCGUUGUCCGGAAUCACUGGGCGUAAAGGGCGCGUAGGUGGCUGGGUAAGCGUGUGGUGAAAGUCCGGGGCUCAACCCCGGAUCUGCCGUGCGAACUGCCGAGCUUGAGCGAUGUAGAGGCAGGUGGAAUUUCGGGUGUAGCGGUGGAAUGCGUAGAGAUCCGAAAGAACACCAGUGGCGAAGGCGGCCUGCUGGGCAUCAGCUGACACUGAGGCGCGACAGCGUGGGGAGCAAACAGGAUUAGAUACCCUAGUAGUC